GCCAUAUAUUUGGAACAUGGUGGUUUACCUUUCGUCUUUUCACUUCUAAUUUUUCCAUUAAUCCUGGGGUCGAGACACUUCCCCCUCCUCCAGCUGAUUCAGUUCCACCAUUCGGCUAUUAUAAAUAAGUAGUUUUUCUGAACAGCAAACCCACCAAGCUCCAUCGGCUGCUAGAUCUCUAUCUCCCUCUUCCUCCAAGGAAAACCUUGCCAUCAUCUGCCAAGCAAUGGCCAGCCACAAGCGCAAGGAUGAAGGUCCUUCCGAUCAGCCAUCGGCUGUCCGUCGCCGCCUUGGCAACGACGAGGCUUCUAGUAUGCCACGCUGAUCCCCUUCUCCAGCACCAACAAGCCCCUUCUAUGGAAUGCUCCCGAUAUCGCAUAUAUGCCUGCCUAGCUGGGGGAGCCAAAUUCGGUAACUUACCUUCGGUAAGUGAUGGUGUGGGUGUGACAGGAGCCUCUAUAUCCGACGUCCAGAGCCCAUCCAACGAUCGCAACUUGUCCAGCUAAUCUCAUACCAUUGGUCGAUAGUUCUCACCAAGUAGUAAAAUCGAUUGCACAUGCCCCAUGGUCUCCUCUUCCCACAUGUGCUCUCAAUUUUAUUGGAGCCGGCUUAGCUUUUUGGUAUCUGCUGCCGCUAUUAAGUCAUAUGUGAUUCUUUCUGCUGAUAGCGGAUAGUCCUCGGCAAUGGCGGUCUUGGUGCCUUUGCCUCGAGGACCGCAGGGUGCUCCGCUGCAUCUUCUUAUCCGGAAUCAGACGCAAGUAGCCGGAUUUGUGGAAGAGAAGAAGAGGAUGAGAUUCAAGCUGUGAUAUCCUGUACUAAGGCCAUGGCCUCAAGGGAAGAACUGAGGAAGGAUUGGGAUUUAAUUCUAAAAAAUAAACUAGUCAAUACUAGUCCUGAUUGGUUCAUCAUGUUGAUUGUGGAUCUGAACAUAGAGAAUAGAGCGCAGCUGCUGUUCUGUUUAUGGAGAGUUUGGCACCUUAGAAAUAAUGCAGUUCAUGGCGAUGAUAAAGCUUCGGUUUGCGGAUCA